rnacentral:lncRNA from 1 species
GCGGCUGCUACAGCUCCGGGCGUCCGGGCCGCGCGUGGCUGCUCCAAAUCCCCGGGAAAUGCCUGACUCAUACAGGAGGAAGAGGAGGAGGAGGCAAAGGAGAGCUGGGAAGGAAGCCAACGGGGCUGGAUGCAGCUGCGACCGCCCCUCCUCCCGCCGCGGCCAGGGCCGGCCCCUCCCUCCGCACUAGUUUCCCGGGCAAGUUCGGAGCCUGUGGCCGGCUAGGCGAGCCCUCUUCGGGUUCCUCCUCCUCUUCCUCCGUGUCCCCGCGGCGUCUCAGGCCCUGGGGACACUCUAGGAGGCCGAUCUGCAAGGUGGGCACGCCCUAAAUCCACGCCGAGUCACCCUCGCAUUCCUUCUCCCACCCUCUCUAGGAUCCGAAGGGGCGAAAGGGAAUCUCUGCGCGUCACUCCCCACCCCCUAUCCACCUCGGGACCUGGAGGGAGGGGCGGCCCCACCCACCCCCGGAUAUGGACCCGCCCGGCCUGACUGGCUCACACGCACACUCCCUCUCUCGGUCUUCCGCACACGAUCGUGGGCCAAACGCUCCUACACAGUAACCUGGAAAUUAUCACUGGCGAAGCAAAGUCACAGGACAGGGAGGCCCUCCGCGUCGUCUGGCGGAGGAGGGGAGUGGCAGGUGAUUCUCACAGAAGGCACUCCACUCACAACAGGACAGAAGCCAGAGGGAAGGAAAUUUUCAUGGAGAUUCAUCUUGAUGCAAAGGCACCCACUGCGAUGGACUUCAUAAGGAUCUUCGGAUAUGUUGGCAUCUUUAUAAAAAUACACAGAAGUGGUAUCACACCAUAGAUCUUAAACUGCUGCUUCUUUCACUUAAUACUAAUUUUUUCUUUUUAUUAUUUUACUUUAAGUUCUGGGAUACAUGUGCAGAACAGCAGAAUACCUGUUACAUAGGUAUACAUGUGCCAUGGUGGCUUGCUGCACCCAUCAACCCGUCAUCUAGGUUUUAAGCCCCACAUGCAUCAGGUAUUUGUCCUAUUGCUCUCCCUCCCCUCCCCCCCAACCCUCAACACUAAUUUUUCUUUUCUUUUCUCUUUUUGAGAUGGAGUCUCACUCUGUCGCCCAGACUGGAGUGCAAUGGUGCAAUCGUAGCUCACCGCAACCUCUGCCUCCAGGGUUCAAGUAAUUCUUUUGUCUCAGCCUCCCAAGUAGCGGGGACUACAGGCACCUGCCACCAUGACCGGCUAAUUUUUGUAUUUUUAGUAGAGAUGGGGUUUCACCAGGCUGGCUCGAACUCCUGACCUCAAAUGAUCCACCUGCCUCGACUUCCCAAAGUGCUGGGAUACAGGUGUGAGCCACCGCGCCCAGCCCUCUUGUUUUAUUUUGGUUGUAAAACAAUCCAUUUCGAUUUCCCCAUUUCGUGCAUUUUUCUGUUGGAUUUACUUUAGAUAUUUCUGUCACUUUUUGAUGAUAUAAAAAUNNNNNNNNNNNNNNNNNNNNNNNNNAAAUGAUCCACCUGCCUCGACUUCCCAAAGUGCUGGGAUACAGGUGUGAGCCACCGCGCCCAGCCCUCUUGUUUUAUUUUGGUUGUAAAACAAUCGAAUAUCCAUUUCGAUUUCCCCAUUUCGUGCAUUUUUCUGUUGGAUUUACUUUAGAUAUUUCUGUCACUUUUUGAUGAUAUAAAAAUCUCCCUUUCUGUAAGCCAAUUACCAUCUUUGUCUAUUAUAUGAUAUUAAAAAUGAAUUCUUAAUUAUGGUGUUAUAUAAUCCAUUAAACUUUUUUUUAACCUAAUUGUUCCUGUUUUCUGGGUCUUGUUUAAGAAAUCCUUCAACCCCACCUCUCUUCUAUCCCCAAAAGGAUACUCUUCCUACGUUUUCUUUUUUCAAAAAGUUUAUUUUUUAUACUUUAAGCUCUGCGGUACAUGUGCGGAUCGUGCAGAUUUGUUACAUAGGUAUACACAGCCCAGGUGGUUUGCUGUAUCCAUUGCCCUGUCAUCUACAUUAGGUAUUUCUCCUAAUGCUGUCCCUCCCCAAUCCCCCUAC